AUAGAAGGAGCUACCAAAUAUGGCUGCUGCCAGUGUCUGUGUCCCCAGCAUGAGGUGCAGCCCCUCUGCCCCCACCAUUCCACCCCUCCAGGAGACUCUCCAAGACUAGAAGAGAAAGUGGUUGGUUCAAAGAAAUCAGAGCAGAUACUGCUUUUGGAGUUGCCCUCAUUAUCCCAAAGUGGCUGCUACAGCUGCGUCCACUCUGCAUUCAAGGCAGGAGAAAGGGAACCCUACAGCUUUGCACAGUAUGGAUUCAAGAAAAAUCUCCUGCGGCUCUGACAAAGGAAGGGGGAAAGCAGCAAGGGCAGAUGGAAAUUAUCUACCUUAAGAACUUGGAUCUACCUAAGGAAAGGAAGAGUGUCUGUCAGAGAAGGAAUAGAGGGCUGGAUGUGGCUGGUUCCCCCUGCACAGCAUCAACUGCAGAGAAGCGGCCUUGGACUGAGAGAGGACCACAGAGAAACCAGACCACAGCGAAACCACCCCAAGAGGGGUCUUCCUGGAGGCUGGCUGAAGCGACUUUUCUCUUCAAAAGCAGGGAAAAUGCCUUGCAUCCUGGGGAAAUUUGGGGUCUCAUCUUGGACCACAGUGGCGCUGGGAAUCCCCUACCUCUACCCCUGUCACAGACACACAUGCAUUUUAUGGAUAAGGAGAACAAGAGCCAGAAAAAUAAGUAACUUGCCCAAGAAUGAAACUUUUUGGAAAGCUAUGUCCUAUAGGGGAAUGGGAUGGAAAUGGAAAAGCAGAAAGGCUAUUUGACACACAAGCCCACAAAGGAUCUCAUGUUAAGACGUUACCUUCAUACUAAGUGAAGUAAGUCAGAUAGAGAAAGACAUAUCAUAUGAUGUCACUUAUAUGUGGGAUCUAGAGAAAAAAAAGGAUACAA